rnacentral:misc_RNA from 1 species
GAUGAAGAACGUAGCGAAAUGCGAUAAGUAAUGUGAAUUGCAGAAUUCCGUGAAUCAUCGAAUCUUUGAACGCACAUUGCGCCCCCUGGUAUUCCGGGGGGCAUGCCUGUCCGAGCGUCAUUGCAACCUUCAAGCGCGGCUUGUGUGUUGGGUCUCGUCCCCCGUGGACGGGCCCGAAAGGCAGUGGCGGCGUCCCGACAUGGUGCCCGAGCGUAUGGGAAUCCUCUUCCGCUCGAAUCGGCCCAUGCGGCGCUGGUCGUAACCAAAUUUUUUACCGGUUGACCUCGGAUCAGGUAGGGAUACCCGCUGAACUUAAGCAUAUCAAUAAGCGGGGGA